UCCACGCAGUAAACGAUGAAUGUUAGUCGUUGGGUCUCUAGUAGAUUCAGUGACGCAGUUAACACAUUAAACAUUCCGCCUGGGGAGUACGGUCGCAAGAUUAAAACUCAAAGGAAUAGACGGGGACCCGCACAAGUGGUGGAGCAUGUGGUUUAAUUCGAAGAUACGCGAAGAACCUUACCUAGCCUUGACAUAUAUUAGAACUCCGCAGAGAUGCAGAGGUGCCUUCGGGA
rnacentral:rRNA from 1 species